UCCUCGUUAGUAUAGUGGACAGUAUCUCUGCUUGUCACGCAGAAGACCAGGGGUUCGAUUCUCUGACGGGGAG
rnacentral:tRNA from 1 species